rnacentral:tRNA from 1 species
GGGAAGGUAGCUCAGUGGUAGAGUGCUUGCCUUGCAUGCAUUAGGCCCUGGGUUCGAUUCCUCAGCACCA